AGCGAACGUUAGCGGCGGGCUUAACACAUGCAAGUCGAACGAGAAAGGGGCUUCGGCCCUGAGUAAAGUGGCGCACGGGUGAGUAACACGUGGGUAACCUGCCUCUAAGAUUGGGAUAACCUGUCGAAAGACGAGCUAAUACCAAAUAAGACCACAGUUCUCUCGAGGACAGAGGUCAAAGGUAGCCUCUAUUUAUAAGCUAUCGCUCAGAGAUGGGCCUGCGCACCAUAGCUAGUUGGUAGGGUAAAAGCCCACCAAGGCGACGAUCUGUAGCUGGUCUGAGAGGACGACCAGCCACACUGGGACUGAGACACGGCCCAGACUCCUACGGGAGGCAGCAGU
rnacentral:rRNA from 1 species